CAAUAUAGAUGUAUUGAAGCAUACUCAAAUUCCCAAUUUCUAUUGGUAGGCUCCCCUCCAUUUGGUUAUACGCUAAAGAUAACAUUUGUAACUCUUUGCACUUGAAUAGACUGGCAGGAAUUCUACCAGAAAGCAGGUUACGACUCCAGUACAAUCCUUUCAAAUUUGGAAGAUGAUCAAACAUAUCUUUUGGGAUAUGACCAGUGAGAUUAUUGGAGGAGAAAUGGAUGACUUCUAGCAAAAGCAAAUCACGUGGAACAGAGGGUAUGGAACCAGAAAGCAUAUUGUAGCUUAGAUAUAUUUCUUGCAACGAAGAGAUAUUGAAGAUGGUGGAGGGAAUUGAACCUGAAAUCUGGUUUCCAGACAAAUACAAGACCUCUAGCUUUGACAAAUAGGCUAAAGAGAAUGGAAUAACACCUUUGAAGUUGUUUUGGUCCAAAAACAACCUUCGAAGUUCAGUUAAUGAUCCCAACCAUGAUGGGAUUUCUCCACUGAAGGAGUUGUUACCAAAGCUUACAUAUUUCAGCCGUCGCAAAUUGGAUAACUGGACAGGUAAUCCGCCAUAGAAACUAUUGUUUGUGACAUGAAGAAGAGAAAGGAAUGACAAAUUUCCCAAGUGAGGUGGAAGGGUGCCUACGAGUCCCAACCUAGUAAGGUUUAGAGCUGUGACUCUACGGUGCUUGGAUCCACAACUUACACCAAACCAAUUGCAAACAGGGGCAGAGGCUGACCAGUUAGUCGUCAAGACAUUUUCAGGAUCCUGAAUAACAUGAUCUUUUAGUGCUAGAAGAGCUGACUGAUCUGUAAGUAUGGUUGUUAAUUUCAUAGAGAAAGUAGGCAUAGAGAAAUGGAAGAUGAUAAGAAGAGCUAAGUUGAGGAAAGUAUUCCCCAUUUGAAUUUGGGUGUUUAUGAAGCUACCAACAAAGGCAGAACGGAGAUUGCUAGACAGAUAAUUGAAUGAUCACUAACCGUAUGACCACACAACUUUUACAUAAUACGUGUAUGUAUAUAUAAAGGGAGUUUAUGUUGUAAUUUCUUCAUGCAAGAUUGCAAAUUAAUAUGAUUUACGUAGAAAUUACGGAAUUUAUUAUAAGACGUGAUAAUAUAAUUAUGUAAUUAUUGCUUAAAAUUUUUCUUUCUAAAUUUCAUAUUUCUUAAGAAAUUACAGUAAUAAAUUUUACAUAGAAAUAACAUUAACAUUAUUGUCAGUACAGGAGAAUGUGAAUUUAAAUGCAUUGAAACACAUUUAUCUUCUUAUAUAAGUAUUAGCAAAAAAAAUUAUGGAUAGUUCUAGACAUGUUAUAAAAAGAAUUUGAUAUAACAAGAUUUAGAAAAUAAUUUGCAUUAUUUAUUUUAGGAAAUUAUUGAAUAAAGAGAUCAAGAAUUUUAAAUUUAAAAAAUUUUAAAUUUAAAUCAUAACAGGAGAAGGAGUUUAGUUACUUUACAAUUAUCCAAGAUGGAUUAAAUUUGGUUUUAUAUCUAAGAUAUCAAAACCGUAAUUAGGUUAUGAUAAGCAUUAAACUAAAUUAUUGGAAUAAAAAUAUAGGUGAAAUUAUUAAUAAAAGCUGUUUUUUUUCAAAAUUUACUGAAAUGGGCUGAUUUUUUGAUUAUUUACCGGAAUGGUCUAUUUUCCGGGAAAUCGCGUCCACGUCAGAGCGAUGUCAGGGUACGUGUCAGGACAUUGCGUCCACGUCAGCGCGACCUGCUUACGUGGAAGGAAAUCGUGUCCUUGAGGGAGCGAUUUCCUUCCACGUCAGCAGGUCACGCUAACGUGGACGCGAUGUCGGCCGCGUGUGAACAGUACCCCAACGGUCAAAAAUUUGACCGUUGCCCCCCCCAACGGUAAAAAAAAACUAUAAAUACCCCCACCCCUUUUUUUUUUCACAAACAAAUCCUAUCUUCAAUUUCCUUCCAAAAUUCUCUCAAUUUCCUUCCAAAAUUCUCUCAAACCCAUAUUUAAUUUCAAUUUCCUCUCAAUUUCCUUCCAAAAUUCUCUCAAAUCCAUAUUUAAUUUCAAUUACCCCUCAAUUUUAUUUUUUAAAAUAAUUUUUAUAUUUUUAUAUUUUUUAAAAAUAAUUUUAAAUUUUUUUAUAAUUUCAUCAAUGGCCGGAUCAUUGAUUCGUCUUGAUAGGAUUCACAUAUCGGUGGAGCAAAUGAAAAUGGUAAGUAUUAAAUUUAAUUUUUAAAUAUUAUUUAAGAUUUUUUUAUUUAUGUAUUUUUAGAUAAUUAUUAAUUUAUUAUUUGUUAUCAAAGUCUGCAGAUCAGAUAUUGGAAUGCAAUAUCCGGAAUAUGCAUGCUCCUCCAUCACCGUUAGUAGAGAACUACCUGUGGGAAGCGGGUUUUUGGCACGUGGCGACGGUAGUCCGGGGAUGCAAGUUGGACCCGAAACUGAUUAGUGCGUUGAUCGAGAGGUGGAGACCCGAGACGCACACAUUCCAUCUUCCAUGUGGAGAGUGCACUAUCACUCUAGAAGAUGUCAGUCUGCAGUUGGGAUUCCUGGUGGACGGGCACCCAGUCACCGGGUCUGCCCAAUCUAGUAAUUGGGAGGCAGUGUGCUACGAGCUUUUGGGCGCUAUUCCGGAUAAAAUGGAUGGAGGUAAGGUCGAGAUGGGCUGGUUACGUGCCACCUUCCCCGAUCCGAAUGCAAAUUCAACUGAAAUUGAAAGAAUCUGAUAUGCUCGAUCAUACAUUUUUCAAAUAAUUGGAGGUUAUCUGAUGCCCGACACAUCACAGAGCCGUGUACAUCUAAGGUGGCUGCUAAAACUCGUUGAUUUUAGAGGAGCUGGUGAAUUUAGUUGGGGGUCUGCCGUCUUGACAACAUUAUAUCGGGAGAUGUGCGAGGUGACGCGACCGAGGAGAGCAAACAUCGGAGGUUGCCUGUCACUACUGCAAUCAUGGGCACGGUUUCGCUUUCCAUUUCUACAUCCUCGAGUGAACCACCCAUAUACAUUCCCACUCGUAACGAGGUAAAUUUUAUAUUACAUUUUGGAAUUAUUAUGUAUAUUUUGUAAGAAUAAAACUAUGCUAAAUAUUUAUUUAAUUAGGUGGAACCAUCAGGCAAGUUAUCGAGGAUUACCGUCUGAACUUGAAGAUAUACGGCUUCUAUUGGAGCAACGGUCGGAAGCAGAAGUAAGUAUUAUUGCAAAUAGAUAUUUCCAUACAUUCGCUAGUCGAUUGAUAUUUAGUAUUUAGUAUUUAGUAUUAUGUAUAUAACUAAUAUUUCUAUCAUGUUCAUAUAGUUUCAAUGGACACCAUACGAGGAUCCGGCAAUUCGAGUAGUAAUCCAGGAAGAGUUUUUACAAAAUCCGAACGCUUGGCACGCGAAAGUGGUGUUGAUCAACUAUGCAACCGUGGAGCCCCACCAGACAGAUAGAGUGCUACGACAGUUUGGAUGUAGACAACCGAUUCCUGCGGACCUUGAGGUGUUUGACGAUCACCACAAAAUCGACCUUCGGCUAUUAGGUAUGGAUUGGCCUAGAUACUGGUCCGAGUACACACAAAUGUGGGAAAAUCGGCUUGAAUAUCUACCUACUCGGGAAGAAAUCAUCGUUCCGGAGUUAGCGUGCGUUCCAGAAUACAUGCCAUAGUUUAGGAUCCAUGGCAAGCCGUAUUUACUUAAGCCAGAGGAUAGGCAGCGGCAAAUACGUGUCGGCAAGGAAAGGCGUGGGCCUCUAAAUCCAAGACAAGAAUACUACGAAGGCAGCCCCUCAACAAGGCCCAGACAGUCACCGGCUCAUCAUCAGCGGCCAUGCAAUCACCUUCCCCAAUGAGAGCAUCGACGCAGUCACCUGGCGCAACAAUUCAACAGAUGAUACCCACGCAACCGCCUUUCCCUAUGAUGCCAGGUGUGUUUCCUAGCCCUUAUAUGUACCCUAACCCUUACAUGUAUCCUUUUCCGAAUCCUAUGGCAGGUUGGAGCCAAAUGCCCGGUUCAGCUCCAUUUCCUGUUAUGCCGAGCGGACCGCCGAUAUCUAGGCCAGCGGCGCAGGAGGGAUCGCAAGGGGGGCCGUCGGGAAGCUCUCCUUUUUACCAAUCGCCACCAACGUAUGGCUUUCAAACACCGUCGUCGUUCAUGAUGCAAACACCUCCACAUACACUAUUCUUUGAAGGUGGAUCAUCGUCCCAAGUCCGACAACCAGAUGCCAAACCGGAAGAACCACAAUCACCACCGGAGGAAGAACAACCGCCGCCGGAAGCUAGAGGAAGGAGGAAUCUAGCGCGUAACCGUCGACGACCGCCAUGUGCAACUGAAUCCCCCGGGCAUAGACAUUGAUUGCCGUAUUUAAAUUUAUUAUUUGAUGUAAUAAAAUAGAAGUUUAUUUGAUGUAAUACGCAUAGAAAUUUUUUCGAGUUAUUUUGAUAUUAUUUGAUGUAAUAAAAUAGAAGUUUAUUUGAUAUAAUAGGCAUAGAAAUUUUUUCGAGUUAUUUUGAUAUUAUUUGAUAUAAUAAAAUAGAAGUUCUAUUUGAUGUAAUAAAAACCAUAAUUUAAUUAAAAACCCUAACCAUAACCUAACUUAAUUAAAAACCCUAACCCUAACCUAACUUAAUUAAAACCCUAACCCUAACCUAACUUAAUUAAAAACCCUAACCCUAACCAAACUUAAUUAAAAACCCUAACCCUAACCUAACUUAAUUAAAAACCCUAGCCCUAACCUAAUUUUACAUAAUUUGAUAAUUUUACUAACCAUUAACACAAUUUUUGGACUUAAUAAUUUUACAUAAUUUGAUAAUUUUACUAACCAUUAACACAAUUUUUGGACUUAAUAAUUUUACAUAAUUUGAUAAUUUUACUAACCAUUAACAAAAAAAUUUUUGGCUUAAUAAUUUUACAUAAAUUUACAUAAUGUUAGAUUUGGUAAAAUAUUUUGACUGGUACUAACAAUUAAGAAAUUAAACUAAUUUGAUAAUUUUACUAACAAUUAAUACAAUUAUCAAUUAAUAAUUGAAUAAAAUAUAUUUUUUUCUAAAAUUACAUUCAACUAUUGCGAUUAGGGCAUGAUCGACUUGUAUGGCCUGGGUUCCUACACCAUCUGCACAACUUCUGUUGACUGGCUGUUUCUCGGAUAUCCAUAUUGUUCCGUAUUCUAGUGGAGCACGGUCGACCCUUUAGUUUGCGACGCAAUUCUCUAUCCGGUAACAGCUUAAAAGGAGCAAGAGAUACGGGCGGCCACUUACGUUCAUCUGGGACCGGUGGGAAAACGUGUCUCCAUACGUUGUACAUGUUUUCUAAUUUGUACACUUCGUCCACAUAACUCAUCGGAUCCAGACGGAGUUUCUGACAAGCUGCAAUAACAUGAGCGCAUGGAUAGCGAAGUGCAUCAAACUUCCCACAGUCACAAGUCCUGUUUUGCAAGUGUACACUAUAUUGUCCGCCAACAACACCUUGGUGCGGUCUGUCAAACUCUGUCACACGAAACCAUAAAUUGUCUCGAUCGUGACACACUGUGUGCAUGAUGUUUGCCCUCGCCUUCGCCUUGUUAAUUUCUUGAACUACCUUACUGCACCAUACAUGGCCACCCUGCAUCUGGCCUGCAUAAGUUGCUGCUCGCUUUGGAAAUAGCGCCGCCAAACGGAAAUAUGUCUCUCGCACAACUGAUGUUAUCAGUAGAUGGCACGUUCCUUUAAUAACAGAAUUUAUGCAUUCUGCCAGGUUUGACGUCAUAUGGCCAUAUCGCAGGCCUCCGUCGUAUGCUUGUACCCACUGUUCGAAACGUAUGUUACAAAGGUAGUCUGCCCCUUCUCCGUUUUGGGAUCGUAAAAUUACCAACAUCUCGUGAAAACGAUCUUUAUUUAUUUCAUACCCCGCCAAUAUAAGAUUAUAGCGAAUAUUUUAUACCAUUUCUACCAAUAAAACUAAUUCAAAUUGACAAACGAAAUAAUAUAGUUAUAGACUAAAUACCCAUAUUGGUCACUUGUCGUCGUUCGCUCUUAGAUGGAUAUUGCCUGUAGUAGUUCGAAGCAACGUAUCUUAGGCAAUAUCUAUGGUGUGUGCGCUGCCACAAGCUUCCCUAUCGAUCAAAUGCAGCUAGUAUACCGGCGCCCCGAUCUGAAAUAACAUAGAUAUCAGGUUGGGGGCACACAUGCCUCCUUAACCUAGAGAGAAAGAAAUCCCAGUCAUCAGACAACUCCCCCGGUGUUAUUGCAAAUGCAAUUGGAAGAAUUUUCCCACCGCCGUCCUGUGCCAAUUUGUACAUGAAGGUACCGUCAAUUUGUACCAAUGGCUUGCAGUAUGGAAAUGCGUCUCGGCAUUGCUUAAAGGUCCAAAAUAGGCGUUUGAACACUUGACAUCCACGUAGCAAUCGGCCGUUGUAGUACGCAUGUUCCGUUUCAAGGUCUGUGAUGGCACUUGGGACGUAUCUCUCUAGCACCUGACACCACUGUCAUAUUUCAUUAUAUGAGGCGUCCCACCCACUAUGCAUCUUCUCCAACGCCUUUUGCUUAGUUAUCCAAGCCUUGCGGUAAGAGGGCGUGUACCCCAUUUGGCUAUGGAUAUUGGCAAUUAUCACCGACACUGAAGUCCUAGGAUCUGCUUUUAUCAUGGGCAGUAUCAAGCUAUCUAACAUAGCUGAAUCCAUUUUGGGAUGAUCUUGUGAAACACCUACAGAGGGAGUACAUUAAAUAAUGCAACAUUGCAAAAUAAAAUAAUUAUUUAGAUACAUUAAAUCAUGUACCUGCAGCACAUGUAUGUGGACCUUUGUACUUUUUUAUCUCCCACAACCUUGUCCUUUUCCUUAACGAGACGACGAUUUUCCAUGAACAUGUGCCGUCUUACACCGCACACUUCGCCUCAAACUUAUCAGAUUUUGAUUUAAAGACGUGGUCAUUAACGCCGUUUUUGAUGCUAUGCUGUUUCAAAGCACCAAUAAAACUAUCCUUGUUGGUAAACUGAUUACCAACGUCAAGUUCACCGAAAUUUACCCCCGAACUUGUACGAUCGCACAACCGGUGUGGUAGAUCUGGAAACUCUAACGCAUCAUCUGCUGACAGAUCGACAUUAUGCAUGUGGGCUGGAGGUGAGUAUGCUUUGAAUCGUGGAUUUUCUUCAUCAUCUGAACUCCUUUCAGCAUCUUCACCUUCUAUUGGAAUAGGCUCCGGUUCAGAAAAUAAUCUCACUUCUGCACCAUCCGGCCCGGGCUCUCGAGGUGGAUCCACAUCGGAGUCAUCUUUUAACCCACAAUCAUCUGCAGCGUACGACGUCCCUUCACCGGUUGACGUCGUAGGUAGUACGCCAUCCCUUCUUCUGGGUAUUUGAUAACGUUUCCAAUUAGAUGUAGAUUGCCAUCCAUUAGAACUUGAUGCAGUUCCCCAGUACGUAUUUCCAGCAUCAAACGUCGAGCCACCGACGUAUAUGUCCCAUCCACCGACAGAGUGUCUUGCGGGGGAUGCAUUCGACAGCGCUACCGAACAUGGGCUGUUCUAUAUUUUGUAACCCGCUAACCGAGUGUCGGCCAGGGGUCGUGUAUACAUCUCAAACACCAGACGGAAGUACAUCAGUUGGCAACGUAAAUUGUACAUAUAACUCAAUAUAAGUUGCUCCACUAGCAAGAUGAGUCUCCACCAUUGCCUCCAAGCUACGAGCACAUUUUCUGUCGAACGAGUCAUAUGUCACCGGAUCAACACAAGAACAAAAUCAAUACGUGAUUGACAAAACUUUCAUUGGCAUCGUUCCGAAGAUUUUACGCCUAAUUCUUUUACGAAGUUCUGUCAAAUCUAUGUUCUGGUUAAAUGACAGUCACACCGUAUUCUCCGACUAAAGAACAACACCAUUCUCGGUGUGGCAAACCUCACCAUCCUAGUAAAUAACAGCACUAAUACGUUCACUCAUUUUGAAACUCUAACUUUCUUAGCCUCUCUAAAUUGUUUCUGCUAUGACUUAUGCAUUCUAAGAACAUUUUCUGCCUAGUUUAUAGCCUCAGCUCAAACUUGCUACUGCAGCAAAAUCGCGUCCACGAGGGCGCGAUUUCACAAUUUCUUCUCAAAUAACAUCCUGGUACAAGCGAUUUUAUACUAUUUGCUCAGAAACGUCAAAAAAAUUUAUUUCUUACAUGACCUACUGUAGCAAAAUCGCGUCCACGAAGGCGCGAUUUCACAAUUUCUUCUCAAAUAGCAUCCUGGUACAAGCGAUUUUAUACUAUUUGCUCAGAAACGUAAAAAAAAUUAUUUCUUACAUGACCUACUAUAGCAAAAUCGCGUCCACGAGGGCGCGAUUUCACAAUUUCUUCUCAAAUAGCAUCCUGGUAGAAGCGAUUUUAUACUAUUUGACCAGAAACGUCAACUCGAAAUAAUUUAUUCCUGGACCUAAAAAUCCUAAAAAGCCUGAACCUUAAACCCUAAAAGCCAAAAAAACCAAACGUGAAAAAAAAGUCAAAAUCACGUCCCCCGGAAUGCGCUACGUGGCAGGACAUCGCGUCCACGUCAGCGCGACCUACUGACGUGGAAGGAAAUCACUCCCUCAAGGACGCGAUUUCCUUCCAUGUCAGCAGGUCGCGCUGACGUGGACGCGAUGUCCUGACACGUACCCUGACAUCGCUCUGACGUGGACGCGAUUUCCCGAAAAAUGGAUCAUUCCGGUAAAUAAUCAAAAAAUCGGUCUAUUUCGGUAAAUUUUGAAAAAAAAACGGCUUUUUUUGGUAAAUUACCCAAAAAUAUAAGCAAUUUUACAAUAUUCGUGGUGGGAACAUAUCCCAUCACCAACUUUUCAUAACUUCUUUUUCCCAUUUUAUAAAAUGUCUAUAGAUUAAGUACUGGCUCUUCAAUUUUCUAAGUAUUCAUUGUCUUACCCCUUUCUUGGGUUUGGUUUGGGAAGGUUGCUUGACUUCGUUGUGCAAUUUAAAGUCUUUCCAAUUUGUCGUUUUAGAAGUGAUCGGAAAAUUUGCACUUCUUCAUGUGCUGGAAGAAAAGUGAUUGGGUUCAAAGAAUAAAAACAGGGAUAGAUUAUUUACAUAGUUUAGUUUUUCUAUUCCUACAGAGCCUACGUUAUGAGGAAUAGUUUAGUUUAUGUUGUAAUUUCUUCCUGCAAGAUUACAAAUUUUUUUAAUGUGAUUUACGUAGAAACUACGAAAUUUAUUAUAGGAUGUGAUAAUAUAAUUCUAUAAUUAUUGCUUAAAAUUUUUCUUUCUAAAUUUCAUAUUUCUUAAGAAAUUACAGUAAUAAAUUUUACAUAGAAAUAAUAUGUAGUAUUGAAAUUAAAUUGCAGUUGUACAAAGGUUACAACUUUUUUAUUAAAUUAUUAAAAUUAUUAGAGAACAUGAUAAAAUUAAAUGAGAACCUUUUUAUCAAAGUGACAAGUGAGCAGUCACUUUGAAGAAUAUAAAUAACCCUACCGCUUGCUUAAUUUGUGUUUCUAUUGACUAAAAAAAUUUUGAACAAAAAGGAUAUUGACUAAAAAUUAAAAUAACCAUGAAAUCUUUUACAACAUUCAAUGAGGUUGAAAGAUUUUAUUUUUAAUUUUUUUUAAAUAAUAACUUAUUUGGCUUCUAAUUUUAUAAAAAAAUUAUUUUUUAUUCCUUAAAACUUAUAUUAUUUAUCAACAUUGGCUUACUCCUUCGUUGGGUUUGGUUUGGGACGGCUGCUUGACUUCGUUGUGCAAUCUAAAGUCUUUCCACUUUGUCGUUUUAAAAGUCUGCAUAUCGGAGAAUAUCACAAUUGAGAAAGAAUUAUAUAUUGCUGUGAAACUGAACGUAGUUGCUAAUAUAUACGUUAAGUGAUUAAAAACUUGGCACUUCUUCAAGUGCGGGAAGAAGUGAUUGCGAAGUUGACACUUUUUCAAGUUAUUAAAAAAAAAAAUAGGAGACACAUAUUGUUUACGUAGUUUGGUUUCUUACGUUUGCAGAUCUUAGUUUAGUGAGAAAUAUCUACUAUCUCCAACAUUUAUAAUAAGUGAUCUUAAAUCUAUCACAACCCACUACAAUUUCCUCACUUUUGUACUUUUGAAAAUCGGUACUCUCACCACUAAAUUCACUCCUGUGAACUUAAUUUAUAAAAUCACAACACACAAGUUUUACAAUCAAAUGCACUCUUACAAACAAUAUUCUUCGCUUAAACAGACUAAGUGCUCUCAAUUCUCUAUACAAUCACCUAUACAAGUCUCUCAAUUAUAAAUAGAUUUCGAGAUUUACUAACAUAAUGAAAAUCUAUAUCAAUCUCUAUUAAACAACAACUAAACUAGUUGAAUAAAUUAUAAUAAUAAAUAAGGUAAACAAGGAUUGUUGUCAGCUAAGUCUUCUACGUUCCAAUUCGAUUCAACUUCCUCGAUCCAAGCGAUUAGAUAGACAUGGUCCGAUCCAAUCCGAUCCCUUAAACAUGUUUCCUGAAGUGAUAUGAUCUGUAACACCCCAAACCCAGCCUAACGUUAUAUAUGGUCUAACAUAUAAUAAAAUUUAUUAUUUAUAAAAUAAACUAAAAAUAAAAAGAGAGAAAAGUUUGAAUAUGGUUUAAAUAUUGUUUGUGAGGUUUUUUUAAAAAAUAUUUUAUUUAUAAAAAUAUUAUUUUAAGAAAUAAAUGUUAUGUUAGAAAGAAGAGAAAAUGGGUAUUCAUGUGUAUUUAUAAUUGUGUUAUGUAUUGUUAUAAAAACUUAUGUGUUUUUAUAAAAAAAAAACUUUUACAUAUUUUGAAUUUUUAAGAAGUAAAACUACAUUGACAAAAUGUAUAAAAUUGAGAGCUAAAUUUGUUGAUUUUUUAGAGUUAAAGCUAAAUUGAUAGAAUCUGUCAACAUUGAAGGGUUAAAUUUGUUAUUAUAUUAAUAAAAAAUGCCACCGUUAAUGAUUUAACAUAGGAACAACAAAAAUAUUAAAUUUUGAUAAUGUUAAUGAAUGAAAUAAAAAAUUUUAAACUUAAAUGACCAAAAUAGAAACACACUAAUAAUUAGAUAAACUAUUUUUUUUACUUUGCCCUAGAUUUAAUAAUGUUACCCGAUUUUCCAUGAUUCCUCCAUUUUCUUACCCCUUUCUUGGGGUUGGGACCCGGCUUCACUUUAUUUGUGCAAUCUAAAGGCCUUUCAACUAUGUCAACAAUUGCUUAUGAACUUAUAAUGUGAAACCUUAAGCAAUUGGACAACGAAGCUAUCACUUUUCUUCUUCAAGGAUAAUUAAGAUGGGUCUGGCAUGGUCACUAAAUUUCCAUCACUUUUUGGCCAUUUUCUUUUCAAUGUUUUGCACAUUUUAAAAUCUCUAUACAUUCAAUAAUGCUCCCCAAUUGAAGGUUCUUCUUUUUCAAACCUCGUCUUUUCCUCGACUUUGUUGUGCAAUUUAAAGUCUUUCAGCUUUGUCGUUUGGGUAACUUAUAAAAAUAGUCACUUAAUUUUAGUUAAAUUUAUUUUCUCACUGAAUUAUAAAAAAAUUACAUUUUAGUCACUAACAGUAUCGAGUUAUAACGUUUUGGUCACUCAUCCAUUAACCGCCAUUUUAUCCUUAAGGAAAAGUGCCGUUAACUCAAGGGUUAAUAUUUAAUUUGACCUUUGAACUAUAGUUAAAACAUUCAACUUGGUCAUAAUUUAUUAAAAAAUAUUAAAAAUAAAAAAUUUAAAAUUUAUUUAUUGUUUGAUACUAUAAAAAAUAUAUAUUUUGAAAUUGUAAUUAUGUAAUGUUUUAAAAAACCAUAGAAUCCUUUAAAUUUAAAUUAUAUUAGAAAUCCUAUCACAGUUGUGCACAUGUGGCAAUCAUGAAUUUAGAACAUAGAUUUGUGUUUAAAAAUGAAAUCCAAUAAAUAAUGAAAUCGUAUAGUUUGAAACUAAUUAAUCAUAAUAACACAUGAAAUAUGUAUGAUAUUAAAGUUAAAAAAUUAGAUUAAAUUGUGAGUAAAACUAAACUUAAACAUAUAAAUACAUUAAAUUAACAAUACUAAACCAACUCAACUAAUAACAUUAUUAAUAUAUACAAUGGAUGAAGUGUGCAUAAUAAAAUUAAAUUGUAUAUGAAAAAAUCAAAAUAAAACUUUGGUUGAGUGGUUAAUUUAGGGUUUUGCUAAUGUGAUUGACGUAGAUAUUAUAAUAUGUAUAUUUUUUUUAUUUUUUUAAGAAAGUAAAAGAUUAAAGUACCCCCGAAUAAUAUAAUUUAUUUAAUUACAAAAGAACAUUUCCAUAAUUUCUCUAACCGAGUUGAUGCUCGUCUGACUCGUAAUAUCAACUCAAUCAAAGACUUAAAAUAAUGGUACAGAUAAAAAUGUAGAUUGAGUCAUGGUUAUCUGAACCUAUUGAACUGGCAAUGAUACCAGUCUGGAGAGAGGCAUUAGAUCAGUUCACUCGCAAACCAGUACAGACCAAUAUUAGAACUAGACUAAAAAACUGAUUGAAUCGUUUUUUUAAUAUUUUAAUAAUUUGUAAUCCAACUAUACAAACCAAUAUUUCAACCACCAUUUUAGUUCUAAAAACUUUGCUUAAAGUAUAUUUAAUUUUUAAUUAUUUACUUUAUAAUUCUACACAAAUACAUAAUUACCGCAGCUUCAGAACAGACGAGGACUAAGAAAAAGAAUCAGCUAAUUUUACUGAUUGCAAUUCUAUGAGUAACGCAGCAAACUUAGCUUUCUUUAAUUUCGUCUCACACUAAUAAUUUGUAUCUAUGAUUUAACUUGGACAAGAUCUUUAUCAAGUUGUUUUUUAUGCAAUUGACUAAUAAAAUUCCAUAUUGAGCCAUCGAAUUUACGAGAAAUGGAUACAACAAUGACUUCAAAAUAAAUUGGACUUUUUAUUUUGCAAUUCACUUUUAUAGUUUCAAUAAUGGCCAACCAAUUUUCCAUGACUUUUAUAGCUUGACUUAAGUUGUGCAAUCUAAAGUCUUUUUCUAAACCGUGAGAACAGAAGAAAACAUAUGAGCAGCCAUUGUUGAAGUCCCAUGUUCGGCCAACCUUCUCAUUUUACACGGUGAGUAAUUUUAAUCUUGUUUUUCAUGAAUUUUAUAUUUUUGAGAUUAUUGUAAUUUUAAUCUAGUUUAGCUAACUCGAGUGUUAAUUUUUGAAACUGUUAAAAUUUCUAAAUGUUACUAUUGAUGAAUGAUUGAUGAAAUUAGUAUUAAUUGAUUAGAUUUUUCUGCUUAGAUAUGAAAAAGGCUUAAUUAUCAAUUAUCAAUUCCAAAUAAAAAAUAUUAUUGAUAUUUUCUAUUAUGAAAACCCAUUCUCAAUGUGUUGAAUCGUUGAACAAGUAAUUUUUACUUCUAUUGUGGCAAAUUCAAUGGAGGGAGUUAUCUUCUUAUUUCUACCAUAAAAAGUUUCUCAAUAAAUUUCAUUGGGUGAAAAUUUUGAGUUAGAUUAGAGUGCUUCAAAAUCUCAUGGCAAUUAACAAAUUACGUGAAUGUGUGUGAAAAUAGGAAGGAUAUUAGUAGUUCACCUCUAAUUGCUUAGGCAUGAUACUCGUUGUGAAAAUAGGAAGUUUCUCAACAAUUCCCAUGAUACUCGUUGGAUAACUCGAUCAUUUUUUUUACAGGAUGUAAACUUUUCUAAAUGAUAAGGAAAGGAAAAGAAAACUUAGGCAAUUCAAUUUAAGUAGUUCACAUUUAAUUGCCUACCUCCACUUAGUAUCCUUUAAUCAAAUAAUUUCUCAAAUUACUAUAAGAAUUUGUACCUUUCGAGGAGAAGGUAUAACAUUUACAACACUAUCUUUUUCUUAAAGCUUAGAUAUAACCUUUCCCUCUAGCUUUUAUAGUUGUUGUAUAGUCGUCGUUGGCAAGUCAUGUCUCGAGACAAUUUAUCAAUUGUCUUUAGACACACUGCACUAUAUCUCAAGACAAGCAGCUCCUAUCAAUUGGUACAAGCCAGUAUGAACUAGUAUAAGUUAGUAUUGACUGAAACGAGCUUAAACAUACUGGAAUUGUCAAAACACAUCAAAAUCUUAACCAUAAUGAAACCUAUACUAUUUAGUAUUGGUUGAAGACCAAAAAGAUACGCAUCGAGUGUGUUAAAUGUUGAUGUCCUUUUUAUGUACUGUUUAUAUUUUUGUUCUUUUAAUAAUAUUUGUUUGGCUUAUAAAAAUUAUUUUUAUUAAAAUAAAAUAAAUGAAAAGCUUAUGCAAAGACUGAAAAAAGAUAUCAAAAUUUGCUAUGUUUUGAUAUUGGGCAUUUAAUAAUUUGUACCUAUAUUUAAAAAAAAUUUGUACCAAUACAAUUUCAUAAAAUUAGUACAAAUGGUCAUCAAAAUUCAGCGUAACUUCCUAAAUAUAUUGCUAAUUGAUAUAAUUGAGAACGGUUAUGCGGUUGAUAAUAAUCUUUUUGAACUUCGUUUAGUACAUGAUUUAUGCAAGUAAUAUUGGCAACUUAAGUUUCGGCAUGUCCUGCGAGAACAUAAGAGACUGACAGAUUGCAUGACCAAAGUUGUUCCUAGUAAUCUUAAUAGGUUAACAACUUUUGAAGACCCAGCUAAUCAUGCUCGAUCUUUGUUAGAAGAAGAUGCUCAUCGAGCAAUGAUUAAUAUAGACUCUCAUCAACCUAAUUGUAGCUAAUUCCUUGAACUUGUUUCUUUUUUAAAAAAAUUCACAAAAUGCAGAAAUAACUAUUAAUAAACUUUAUAGGAAAACAGAGCAUCUGUAUAAAUAUUUAUCAAAGACAUUGCUAGAAAGCAAAGCUUAUGUUUAUUUUAGUCAAUUUAACAAUGGCCACUUCAUCGAACGCGUUGCAUAUCCCUUGAUAACUUUACUUUGAUCUUCUUUAACUUUGUAACAACCUCUUUCAUAUGAAGCCUCUCAUUUGGUAACUCUGCAGAACAUUCUAAGCCAACUUGCAAAAUGGAUAAGGCACAAUUCUUGACUUUUAAAUGUUCCCUUCCAAUGGUGCUCAACAACUUGGGAUCUACAACUUGAUUUCGCGAAGAUGAUAUCGACUCUAUCACCCAACUAUUCAAGCUUCUUUCUNNNNNNNNNNNNNNNNNNNNNNNNNNNNNNNNNNNNNNNNNNNNNNNNNNNNNNNNNNNNNNNNNNNNNNNNNNNNNNNNNNNNNNNNNNNNNNNNNNNNACAUUUUAUCUGUGGGCUUUUUUCUUGUGAUGAUUUCCAUCAAAAGAAUACCAAAGCUAUACACAUCACCUUUUGUCGAAACAAUUCCUUCGAUUCCAUAUUCUGUGUAUGAAUAUAAAAACAACAUUAUGAAUAUUCAAAGAUAUCUUGAUAAUGAAAAAUCCGUAUAAAAUGUACGAAACAUUAUAUGCUUGCAUGUUAUAAUUGAACUGGGAUUUAAUCUAGUUGCUUCCUUAAAAAGUCACAUUUAAUAUGUUUGAAACUCAAAUCUUAACAUAUAUGAUCCCUUUUGUUAUGCACAUGCUACGCUUACAUUGAAAAUGGAAAAAUAAACAUGGAGUUUGAUUAGAAGUAUCACCUGGUGCCAUAUAUCCGAAUGUUGCCAUUGUCAUGGUUUGUAUCAUUGAAACCUCUUCACGUAAGAGUUUCGCGAUGCCAAAAUCACUCAAAUGAGCAACCAUAUCUUCAUCUAAUAGAACAUUGUUGGGUUUUAAAUCACAGUGAACCACGGGUGUUGCAUUACCAUGGUGGAGAUAUUCCAAUGCAGAUGCAACAUCUAUCAUUAUGUUCAACCUUUGUAGGAUAUCCAAAUAUUGGUUGUUGGAAUACAACCAUUUAUCAAGACUCCCAUUAGGCAUGAACUCAAGCACCAACGCUUUGAAAUUAAGAUCAUUAGAGCAACUGCUUAUUACUUUGACUAAAUUUCUGUGACGAGUGUUGCAGAGAACAUCACAUUCAACAUCAAAGCUCUUAAAAGCUCCUUCUAACUCUAACUUGAAGACCUUUACCGCAAUUACCGUCCCAUCCUGGAGAGUCCCUUGGAAUAGUGAACCAUAACUUCCAUUACCAAGCAACCUACUACCAUUGAAUCCAUCAGUAGCUUGACGAAGCUCGUGGUAUGAAAACCGUCUCCACGUUCCUAAAGGUAUCAUGUCUUCUUGAGUUGGCAAUUUGUCUUUCCUCCUAUUUUGCAAGAUAAUGAUUAUCAGAGCCACAACCAAAAUUGUGGAGGCAAUUGGCAGAGCUACAUAUAUUAUGAGCUUCAGCUUAGUUUUUGCCUUGGAAUUUCUAAGAGGUCUUGUUUUGCAGUUUGGAACAUGAAGUCGAGUUGCACCACACAAGGCUUCAUUACCCUUAAAUGAUUCGAUUGUGUAGUUUCCAAAUGAUCCUCCUUCAGGAAUUUUUCCUUCAAGUCUAUUAAAAGAGACAUUGAAAUAUUUGAGAUAACGGAGUUUCUUUAAGGAUUUGGGAAUCUCUCCAGAUAGAUUAUUUCUUGACAAGUCCAAGAAUUCCAAACUCAACAAUUCAUCAAAAGACUCAGGAAUAGAACCCAUGAUUCUAUUAUUGGACAAGGAAAAAUGAGUGAGGUCCUUGAGAUCUGCAACUCCAGUUGGGAUAUCACCUGAGAACUGAUUGUUCGACAAAUCCAAACUAGUCAAAACUUUCCAUUUUCCAAUGUCAGUUGGCAGUGGACCACUUAGAGAAUUUGAAGACAAGUAUAGGAUGAGGAGAUAGUUAAGCCUUGUCAACGUGGAAGGUAUUGAGGAGGAAAACUUAUUGGAGUCUAGAAAUAGUUGCCUUAAUGAAGUGAGAUCACCUAAGCAAGCAGGUAUUGGUCCAGACAAUUUGUUAUUGGUCAAGAACAAGAAAGCCAAUUUGUUUAGAUGACAUAACUGAGAUGGGAUGGAUCCUUCUAACUUAUUGUCUUUAAGAGAAAGACUUUGCAACUCUUCCAAUCCACCAAUUGUAGUAGGAAUCUGUCCUAUCAAUUUAUUGCCUCCGAGAUCAAUGCUUAUCAAGUGACUUAAGUUUCCAAUUUCAUUGGGGAUGCUACCCCUGAUGUUGCAUGAAUAAGCAGAGAACUCUUCAAGAGAACUUGAGACAUUUCCUACCACUCUUGGAAGUUCACCACUAAUAAAUGGGUUGCUAUCGAAAAGAAAGUUCGAGCCGACAAGGUGAUUGCUAGCAAGAUAUAAUUGCUCCAUGUUUGGAAGUAAAAGGCCCAUGUUUGAUGGAAGAUGGCCAGAGAGCUGAUUUAUAUCCAAAGCAAUCAUCCUUAAAGUUGAAAUAUUAAAUACAUGUGGAGGGAUAGAACCAGUAAGAUUGUUAAAGUCUAAAUCCAACCAAUUUAGAUUCUUUAGGUUGCCAAUCUCACGUGGUAUUAUACCUGCCACAAAUUUUAUCAAACAAAAAUAUUAGACAAAUAUGAGGAAGAAAAUAGUUUAUAUAUAUGAAACAUUUGCUUAUAUUUUUUAUAAUGUGUACAACCAUAGACAAUUAGUGUAUCAAAUAUGAAUCAACAAUAUUUACAAAAAAAAUUAAUUCACAAUAAAAUUGUUUUUAUAGAGCGCUUGCAAAUAUUAAAGUACUUCAAGUAAUUUUAAAUUGAAUUUUUUAGGUUUAAAGUUGGAAUAAGUUCAAAAUGAGAAGGGAUUGUAUGAAAUUACAAUUCUAUGUCAUCUUUAUCCCUUAUAGGAGAAUAACAACUCAGAUUUUUCCUCCUAAUUUUUAGCUUUUUCUUCUUGAAAAAAUUUAAAAUCCAACUAAAAAAGUUAAAAAUUAAGAGGAAAAAUCUGAUUUAUCAUUCUCUUAUUGGAAAGGGAUAGAGAUUACGUAGAAUCACAGUUUCAUACAAUCACUUCUCAUUCAAGUUAUAGAAAAUAAUGAUGAAAUAAAUGAUAAAGAACAAACAUUUAUAAGUCAAAUAAAAUAAUUAAGAACAUAAUGGUGAAUUAAAUUUGUUUUCCUUUUAUCUGAUUUGAUAAAUUUAAAAUUUUUAAGAACAUAAAAAUAAAUCAAAUAUGAUUUUUGGUCCCUUGGAGUUUUGUUUGGCCUCAACAGGGGUAAAUGUAAAUAAUGGACUUAAAAAAAAAAGAAAUAUACUAAUUGCAAUGACUAUGAAAAAUUUUAUAAUUAUUGUAGAAUAAUCAAAACACAGAAAGCGGUUGAGCAAAAUAAAGUUCAAAUUAAUAAAAACUAUCAGUAAAAGUUGCAAAUUAAUAAAAAUAAUUUGGAAAUAAUUUAACUCUUUCUUAUACAUUCACCUGUAAAAUUGCUAUGGGAACAAUCAAACGACAUAAGAAGAGUUAAAUUCACAAUUUGUUUAGGAAUUUCACCUGCAAUUAUAAAAUUCACAUAUCAAAUUAAAAAUUCAUCUCCUAGCAAGGAUUAUAAUAAUAAAAUUAAGGUAUAAUGGCUUAUUUAGCUCUUCAAUUUUAUUAAAAAGAAUCAUUUUAGUCUUUCAUUUAAUUUUUCAUCUCUUUUAGCCCUUAAACUUGCAAUGUUUGUCAAAUCAUCCCAAAAUGAAUUGAAAAUUCCAUGUGUAUGCCACAUCAACAAUUAAUUUUUAAAAUUUUAAAAAAAUUCUAUUUUAUUACUAACGUGUCAGCAAAGUAAACAAACAUUAACUUUUCCAUACAUUUUUUGGGCUGAUAUAACAAACAAUACAAGUUCAAGAGCUAAAAGAAACGGAAAAUUAAAUAAAAAAUUAAAAUGAUUUUUUUUAUAAAGUUGAAGGGCUAAAUAAAUAAUUAUUUCUAAAGUAAACAAAGCACGUUAGCAAGGUAUUUCACAUCAUAUUAGGUGUCAUACACACUUCCAAGUCAAGUUGGAACUAAAAGAAUAUUUCUCUCAUCAUUUUGUCGUAGUUUAUUCUUCAAUCUUCUUUUGAAAAAUUUCAACUAUGUAUUCGUUUAAUAAAUAAAUUUAUAUUUUCAAUCUCAAUAUCUAAAUUAUUAUAUUCAUUACCUUAAUUUCUUUUCAAAAAAACAAAAAAAAAAAUCGUUCCUUGCAUCUCAAUGUACUUAAAAAAAAAAGUAAACACUUCAAAAGGUUUUAAAAAUGGUUAGCAUAUAUUACCUUCAAAGUGGUUCCGACCAAUAGCGAUGUCUUGAAGCAGGCUCAAAUUCCCAAUUUCUAUUGGUAGGCUCCCCUCCAUUUGGUUAUACGAUAAAGCUAACACUUGUAACUCUUUGCACUUGAAUAGACUGGCAGGAAUUCUACCAGAAAGCAGGUUAAGACUCCAGUACAAUCCUUUCAAAUUUGGAAGAUGAUCAAACAUAUCUUUUGGGAUAUGACCAGUGAGAUUAUUGGAGGUGAAAUCGAUGACUUCUAGCAAAAGCAAAUCACGUGGAAC
rnacentral:lncRNA from 1 species